CAGGGAGACAACAAAAUGUUUAAUAUUAUUAUUUUGUCACCUUAGGUCGAUCGGUAUCUCACGUUCUUAAUUUAUUAAGGAUUUCAUUUCCUAAGUUUUUCUAGGUCACACCCAUAAUUUUUCCUGGGCCAUUAGCUCAGGUGGUUAGAGCGCACCCCUGAUAAGGGUGAGGUCCCUGGUUCAAGUCCAGGAUGGCCCAUACUCUAUGUUGGGGGUAUAGCUCAGUUGGUAGAGCGCCUGCUUUGCAAGCAGGAUGUCAGCGGUUCGAGUCCGCUUACCUCCACUGAUUACCACCUCUCCCAUAAUCUGUAUUAAGGAAAAGUUUUGAGUUGUGAUCAAAUUCUGAACGAAUCUAGCUUCCUGAUGAAAUCAUUAAGAUGCUGGACUCAUUGAAUUAAUUUCAUUGUUUUCAGAGAACCUUGACAACUGCAUAGAUUAUUUUUAAAGACAAUAAGCAUCUUUAGUGAUGCAGAUUUAUUAUUUGUGCGAAUGCAUUAAUAACAAUUCUAUUAAGCUGAUGCUUCAAUUUUGAAGUUAUU
rnacentral:tRNA from 1 species